AGAUGUAAAAUCAUCUCGGCGGCCUAUUAGUUUCUCUGAAAGUGACAGAGAGGAGUCUGAGUAUGAAACUGAAGGGGAAGAAGAUGAGAGGUCUGCACACAAUAGGAUUGAGGACGAGGAGCCAGAAUAUGAAGAAUCGGAAGAAGAGGAAGAGGAAGAGCGCUAUGAAGAGGCAGAUGCUAACGCUAACAGAGCUUCAGAGGAGGAAGAGGAAGCUGAGGAGCCUAGGUAAAAAGUGAAGGAGUCUGUUGGCAGCAGUAAGCGCAAGGGAAUCGAGUCGAAUGAGGACUCACCUCCUAGAAAAGCGAAUGAGUCUGUUGGCAGCAGUAAGCGCAAGGGAAUCGAGUCGAAUGAGGACUCACCUCCUAGAAAAGCUCCCACACAUUGUCACAUGGCAGUUGUUUAUGAUAGUGAUGAGGAAUGAAACAAGAUUACAGGGGAAAUAAUCGUAUCCUCAAACAAUGAACUAUUGACAGACAACUUUGGUGGCUGGAAAGGAUGUUGGAG
rnacentral:lncRNA from 1 species